rnacentral:tRNA from 1 species
AGGCGAGGUAGUUUAAGGGUUAGAACAUCAGAAUCAUAAUCUGGGUGUUGAGGGUUCGAAUCCCUCCCUCGCUA